AUGCUUAGUGGUCCAAAAUAUUUAAGAGAACUGCACAAUCAAGGAGUACCAGGUAAUCGAACAUUAAAGAGUUGGAGAUAUAAACAAAAUCCUACGUGUGAAGAUUCUGUAAACCUUUUGUAUCCAUUGAAGCUUCAGGGAUAUGUAGUUGGCUAUGUCGCAUGUCAGUUGCUGGAAAAGGGCCAGAAGAACACGUUGGUCCAGAGAAAUGGGGUUCGGUGCACACAACCCUCGCAAAAUAACCUGGCCGAAAGCAUAUUAGAGUAUCCGGUAUCCACAGUGAUACAUAUGCUAAUUAAAACGCUGAAUAAACUGAUAAAAGUGGUUCUCCGUGUAACAGAAGCAUGGGUGCAUGAGAUGGACUAA
rnacentral:rRNA from 1 species